AGCGAACGCUGGCGGCAGGCCUAACACAUGCAAGUCGAACGAACCUUUCGGGGUUAGUGGCGGACGGGUGAGUAACACGUGGGAACGUGCCUUUAGGUUCGGAAUAACUCAGGGAAACUUGUGCUAAUACCGAAUGUGCCCUUCGGGGGAAAGAUUAAUCGCCUUUAGAGGGGCCCGCGUCUGAUUAGCUAGUUGGUUGAGGUAAUGGCUCACCAAGGCGACGAUCAGUAGCUGGUCUGAGAGGAUGAUCAGCCACAUUGGGACUGAGACACGGCCCAAACUCCUACGGGAGGCAGCAGUGGGGAAUCUUGCGCAAUGGGCGAAAGCCUGACGCAGCCAUGCCGCGUGAAUGAUGAAGGUCUUAGGAUUGUAAAGUUCUUUCACCGGGGACGAUAAUGACGGUACCCGGAGAAGAAGCCCCGGCUAACUUCGUG
rnacentral:rRNA from 1 species